UUUAUUAUCAUUAGCAUCUUUUGGCUUGGUUUUGUAAUCUCUUUUGAAUUGGACAGCCUUGUUAUCUCCCCUCCAAUUCGGUCUCCAAUUGGAAUUUUAAGUGUUGGCUUGCCUUGUAUUCCCCUUUCUCUUCAUGUGCACCAUAUCAGCAAUCUCCAUAUAAUGUUGAAGCUCUACAAUGUUGGCUAUAUCUUUGUUAAGGCCAUUUAAGAACCUUGCCAU
rnacentral:lncRNA from 1 species